rnacentral:rRNA from 1 species
GAUGAACGCUGGCGGCGUGCCUAAUACAUGCAAGUCGAGCGAAUGGAUUAAGAGCUUGCUCUUAUGAAGUUAGCGGCGGAUGGGUGAGUAACACGUGGGUAACCUGCCCAUAAGACUGGGAUAACUCCGGGAAACCGGGGCUAAUACCGGAUAAUAUUUUGAACUGCAUGGUUCAAAAUUGAAAGGCGGCUUCGGCUGUCACUUAUGUAUGGACCCGCGUCGCAUUAGCUAGUUGGUAAGGUAACGGCUCACCAAGGCAACGAUGCGUAGCCGACCUGAGAGGGUGAUCGGCCACACUGGGACUGAGAAACGGCCCAGACUCCUACGGGAGGCAGCAGUAGGGAAUCUUCCGCAAUGGACGAAAGUCUGACGGAGCAACGCCGCGUGAGUGAUGAAGGCUUUCGGGUCGUAAAACUCUGUUGUUAGGGAGGAACAAGUGCUAGUUGAAUAAGCUGGCACCUUGACGGUACCUAACCAGAAAGCCACGGCUAACUACGUGCCAGCAGCCGCGGUAA